CGGGUAAUCAUUUUCAUUAGACUUUGAAGUCAUUCAAUACUCGAUUAGUUUAAUACUACUGCUGCUAUCUAUUCGGCUUUUUCACAUUUUGAAACAUUUUAAUGAAUGGUUGUUAGGCAAAAUAGCACACAGGAAAAAUAGCUUCACUGAAACAUCAAGAUUUUCAAGAUAAAAUAUGGUUAAUGAUAGGGAGACUAUCUAUUUAAAACAUAUUUUUAGAAAUGCUUAAUUAAAUUUUAACUCCUAAUUUUAAAGUUGUUUUAAUCAAACAUCUGGGUUUUUAAGGAUUUUGAUUAUGACGCUUACGUACAUUAGGCCACAUUAGCAUUUUUCUAUUAUCAAAUUAAAACUAUUAUUAUAAUUUUCGAAAUUAUUAUUGAAAUUUCCUGCUAACUAAGGCCAUCUCCAACCGGUUGGCCAGAGGGCUCGUUUUAGCCCUCUGGCCCUCCAAGAUUCUCCAAGAUAUUAAUAUUUUAAGGGAAAUUUUAUUUAAACCCAUACAACCUUUUUUUACACCCAACUUAAAAUUUUGAAGGUUAAUUGUCUAUUUUAUCCUAUUGCACUAUUAAGUACAAAAUAAAAUUAAUAAUAAAACUCAAUUUAUCAAUAAACCCAAACAAUAUAAUUAAACCCUACAUUAACUUUAGCUUAGACUUACAGUUUGAGGCCACUGGGGUUUUUCCAGCAAAAAUAGUAUCUCUUCUAUAUGCUCUCGAUUCUUCCACAUGUUUUCGUCGACUGUAGCAGAGUCAAUUGCCCUAUUUCUUUGGGCAACUCUUUAACCUUGGAGUGUAUCAGGCUAAGAAUUUUCAAGUUUGUUAGUUGUCCAACAAGAGUUAUAUCAACCAACUCGCACUGAUCUAAACACAAUGUGUGGAGAUGCAUUAGGGAUUGAAGAGAUGGAGGUAGUGACUGAAUACGGAAUCUGGUUACAUCCAACACUUUGAGUUCUUUCAUUCCUUCAAAAAAUUUGCUUGGAAUUUCCUGGGAGUCGCCAACAUUCUUAUUCUCCAAGAUCAACAAUUUUAAUUCUGGGCAUUCCCAAGGUACUUCAGGAAGUAUGGGCAUUUUGCAAGAUCUUAAGGAGAUCAUAGUGUACUUUUUAAAUAAAUCCUCAGCGGGCCAUUCUUUCACCUCAUCUCCAUAUCCUUGAAAAGGCCUUUUUAUCAUCAGAUGCAAUCCAGAUAGCAACAUCUCGAACAAGCUCGUGCAUUCUAACAGUACGAUCGUCAUAACUAUCCAGCAAUAGGAAGAAGGAAGUUACAGUGGAAUAACGGAUUCAAUCUUAUAUCUGUUGAAGAAUCAAUGACACAGCCGAUAGCUUUUGAGUUAAAAAUUUAAUGGGUGUAAAAAUAAAUCCACAUAUUGAAUUGGGUUUAUGAGGGUAUAUUAGGUAUUAAAUUUGGGUUUAAAGAGAUACUAAUAGUUUAGUUAAAAAUCAAAUGGGUGAAAAAAGUAAAUUGGGUGUAUAAAUAGGUUAGAUGGGUUUAAAUAAAAUUUCCCAUAUUUUAAUGAACAGUACAGGGCCAUAUUUGCCUCCGUCUCCAACCGAGGGCCAGAGGGCCAGACGGCUCGUUUUAGCCCUGUCAAAAAAAACCGUCUCCAACCGAGGAUCAUAGGGCCAAACAUAAUUUAUUAUUUAAAAACUACAACUUAAUUUUAUUUAAAAAUCAUGUUGGUUAGUGUUGUAUAAUUUUUAUGUCGGUUAAUGUUAUUUAAUGUUGUUUCAUAUUGUUUAAUGUUGUUUCAUGUUACUUAAUUUAAUUUAAUGUUGUAUAAUGGCUUAGGAAGUUAUAGGAAAAAAUUAGAAUUUAAAAAAAAUAUGAAACAAAUUUUGUGAAAUAGAAGUUAUAGGAAAAAAUGGAAUUUAAAAAAAAAAUAUGAAACAAAUUUUGUAAAAUAGAAGUUAUAUGAAAAAAAUAUGAACCAAAUUUUGUAAAAUAUAAGUUAUAGGAAAAAAAUAGAAUUAAAAAAAAAUUGAAACAAAUUUUGUAAAAUAAAAGUUAUAGGAAGUUAUAGAAAAAAAAAGAAAAAAAAAAAAGGUUUAAAUUCAUAAAAAAAAAAAAAAAGGAUUUACAACGGGUAGUGGCGCUAGCCGUUGGAAGUUUGAAUUCAAAAUGUUAUUUCUGUCGGUUGUAACCGACAGAAAUAAGAAACAUUAAAAAAAAAAUAGCCAGCCCGGGGCUGGCUAGCUGGCCGAAAGCAGCCAGCCCUCCAGCCCUCCAGCCCUCUUCGAUCUCGUGGGGCCCUCCCAGAUUCUCGAGCCCUCUGGCCUAGCCCUCGGUUGAAGACGGUUUUAGGGCUAUUUUCGGCCCUCUGGCCCUCUGGACCCUUCGGUUGGAGAUGACCUAAAGUAUUUUAGAAGCUGUGGGCUCCUUUUUAAGAGAUAAUCAUGGUUUUUCCUUUUUCAUUCAAAAUAUUUAUCCAGUCAUUUAAAAAAAAAUUCGUACAAAAGAUUCUUUUUCUCCUAAAAUUCAAAUAUAAUCUUAUAAUCAAGAUAACGAAAAUGGUGGAUGUUUAUAUUUUUUAAAUUAUUAUGCAUACAUUUUAUUGAGAGAAUUAUUUGUAUACAUUAUUGAUAUGUUUACGAUUAGAAUUCCUAGAUUUCUGAUUAUAUUCAAUAUGAAUCACAGAUACGUUUAUUAUUAAUUUUCAUACUAUGAUUUUAUUUCAUAUUAUGGAUUGGUACGCUUGUUUUUAGUUUUUGGUAUAUUAAUUUUUGUACAUAUUGUUGAUUAGUACGUUUAACUAGAUACGUUUGAUUUUAGUUUUAGGUACAUUUAGUUUUUUUUUUUUGAACAUAUUAUUAAUUGAUAACUUUUUUAAACACAUUCAAUAUUAUCUACACUAAAAGAUGGGGGAGUGUUAGGCCUUAUAUAGAGUUAGCCAUAAUAAUUUUGUUCGAAUUUGCUUUUAGCAAGGCUUGAAUCUAAGACCUUACUUACAAGUGAGACGAAAUAACACUAAACAGUAGUAUUAAGUGGCAUCAUUAAUUGUUUGAUAACUUAAUAAUUUAAUUUGGAUUAAUACUAAUAAUAAUUUUGGUAUAAAUAAGACUAGAUUUAGGAGCUUUGGAUAUUAUUUUUGUAUCUUAGAAAGAAGACAGUUUUAAAAUGUGGCACAAAAAUUGUAGAAAGUACUUUAGUAAAAAGUUUAGAAGCUAGGGAUGUGUUUGGUCUAACAAAUUUAAAAAUUAAGCACCUAAAUCAAAAUUCCCUUUUUAUAAAUCAUAUGAUGUGAUUUUUUAUGAUUAAAUUUUUACUGGUGACA
rnacentral:lncRNA from 1 species